rnacentral:rRNA from 1 species
GCUUGCUUCUAUGACGUUAGCGGCGGACGGGUGAGUAACACGUGGGCAACCUGCCUGUAAGACUGGGAUAACUCCGGGAAACCGGAGCUAAUACCGGAUAACAUUUUYUCUUGCAUAAGAGAAAAUUGAAAGAUGGUUUCGGCUAUCACUUACAGAUGGGCCCGCGGUGCAUUAGCUAGUUGGUGAGGUAACGGCUCACCAAGGCAACGAUGCAUAGCCGACCUGAGAGGGUGAUCGGCCACACUGGGACUGAGACACGGCCCAGACUCCUACGGGAGGCAGCAGUAGGGAAUCUUCCGCAAUGGACGAAAGUCUGACGGAGCAACGCCGCGUGAGUGAUGAAGGCUUUCGGGUCGUAAAACUCUGUUGUUAGGGAAGAACAAGUACAAGAGUAACUGCUUGUACCUUGACGGUACCUAACCAGAAAGCCACGGCUAACUACGUGCCAGCAGCCGCGGUAAUACGUAGGUGGCAAGCGUUAUCCGGAAUUAUUGGGCGUAAAGCGCGCGCAGGCGGUUUCUUAAGUCUGAUGUGAAAGCCCACGGCUCAACCGUGGAGGGUCAUUGGAAACUGGGGAACUUGAGUGCAGAAGAGAAAAGCGGAAUUCCACGUGUAGCGGUGAAAUGCGUAGAGAUGUGGAGGAACACCAGUGGCGAAGGCGGCUUUUUGGUCUGUAACUGACGCUGAGGCGCGAAAGCGUGGGGAGCAAAACAGGAUUAGAUACCCUGGUAGUCCACGCCCGUAAACGAUGAGUGCUAAGUGUUAGAGGGUUUCCGCCCUUUAGUGCUGCA